GGCACGUUGAGAGUGAUGCCAGGAAUCAAGAUGGCCGCCUGGGACCGCUCUCAGCACCUUCGGCCUCUACCUGAAGAGCCACGCCCCGUCUGCUACACCCAACCGAUUGGUUCCUCAAUCACAGAGAGGAAAGGCAACAUGAGGAUGACGUCAGAUACAAAUAUGGCGUUUUGGACGGGCUCGAUAGUUUGCUUGGCCUCUACUCAAGGAAUGCUGAUGGUAUAGCAAGAAGGUAUUCUGAGCAUUAUAUCAAUGGGGAAGUUCUAGAUCUUUUGCAAAGCAGGAGCAAGCUGCCCUGUUGUGAGCUCUCUGGUGGAGAGCCCCACAUGGCAAGAAAAUGAGAAGCCCCCUGAACAGACAAGAGCUGAGGCCCAGGAUACAAUAUCCUGAAAAAAACUGAAUCCUGCUGACAGUUGCCCAAGUGAAGCUGGAAGUGGAUCUUUCUGCAGUGGAUCCUUGAGAUGACUGCAGCCGUGGCUGACAACUUGAUUGCUGCCUGUGAAGGACCCUGAACCAGAGGACUCAGCGAAAUUGUGCCCAGAUUCCUGACCUACAGAGGCAGUGAGAUAAUAAAUGCUGUUGAGGUCACAAAGUUUUGAGGUAUUUGUUAAUACAGCAAUGGAUACUUAAUACAGCUUCCUACAUGGUCUCCCUCCUUCGACCUUCAUGCUACAAUCUGUUGUCCACACAGCAGUCAGAGAUGCUUUUAAAACAUAAGUCAGAUCAUCAUGACACUCACCUCCCUGCUAAGUGUCCUGCAAGGCCUUUCACGGUCUGAUCCCCUAUCCUUU
rnacentral:antisense_RNA from 1 species